rnacentral:rRNA from 1 species
AUUGAACGCUGGCGGCAGGCCUAACACAUGCAAGUCGAACGAGUGGCGGACGGGUGAGUAAUGUCUGGGAAACUGCCUGAUGGAGGGGGAUAACUACUGGAAACGGUAGCUAAUACCGCAUACCAUCGGAUGUGCCCAGAUGGGAUUAGCUUGUUGGUGGGGGAACGGCUCACCAAGGCGACGAUCCAUAGCUGGGCUGAGAGGAUGACCAGCCACAUUGGAACUGGUACACGGUCCAGACUCCGACGGGAGGCAGCAGUGGGGAAUAUUGCCAAAUGGGCGCAAGCCUGAUGCGUCCAUGCCGCGUGUAUGAGCAAGGCCUUCGGGUUGUAAAGUACUUUCAGCGGGGAGGCGUUACCCGCAGAAGAAGCACCGGCUAACUCCGUGCCAGCAGCCGCGGUAAUAC